CAUCUGAUAUAAACAAUCUGCAUAUUGGGAUUGUCAGGGAAUGUUCUUAAAGAUCAGAUUAGUGGCACUUGCUGAGAUACUGAUGCACAGCAUGGUUUCUGAACCAGUAGUUUCCCUGCAGUUGAGCAGGGAGCAGCAGCAGCACUUGCACGAGUACAUAUACACUCUUAACACUUCUUACCUACUGGCUUCCUCUAGCUUUUGUGGCAGCUUCAGGUAUAUUUAGCACUAACGAACAUUUCAAGAAGGUAUAGGCCUUUGUUUGUAAGUCCUGCUAUCCUAGCAUCCUAUAAUCCUGGACUCCUCUAGUACUUUCUGGCUGGAUUGGUAUCUGAGGCUAGUAGGAAGGGCUUGUUCCUGCUGGGUAGCUCUAAACAAGGUAUUCAUGGGUAGGAACAGCAGCCUAUUCUGCCAGCCUUAUUUCUAACCAUUUUAGACAUUGUUAGUACGUGGUAUUUUAAAAGUAAAACUUAAUGUCUUCCUUUUUUUUCUCCACUGUCUUUUCCAUAGAUCGAGACAUGUAAGCAGCAUCAUGGAGGUAAGUUUUUGACCUUAAGAAAAUGUUUUUGUUUCACUGUCCUGAGGACUAUUUAUAGACAGCUCCAACAUGAUAACCCUCACUAUGUGGAGAACAUUGACAGAAUAGCAUUUUAGCAGGCAAAGAAGAAUCCUACAGGGUCACAUUCCCUUCUCCUGGGGAGUGGCAUGAAGAAGGUGUAUGGCCCCAGGUAUGGCUAUAUUACUGACCCUCUACAGAGAGGGCAAAGGAACUGCCAGUAUGGUAUUGCAGGAUAAAGGCAGGUGGCUACCCACAUUACCUGCAAGGCUUUGAUCUUUCUUCUGCCAUUUCUACAUUGGACAUCUCUGCUGAGAAGAGAAAAUGAACCACUCUUUUCUUUUGUAUAAUAGUUGUUUUAUUCUUCAGACAGAAGAGAGGAGUUAUACAGUUCUGCAGACAUCCCAUUCCUGUAUGGGGACCGUGUUUGCCUCUUAGAGGCUCCCAGGCCACUAGAAGAGAUAACAGAUUGUUAUAACUUGAUAUAAUGAUACUAUAAUAGAUGUAACUAUAAGAAGCUCCAGAAGCAAGAGAGAGGGAGGAACUUGGACUUCUCUGCACCUUUAGUUGGAGUCCAAAGGCUUUUCAAUGAAAUUCUACUGCCCAGGGUACAUUGAUGCUGAAACCCCAUUCAAAUCUCCUGUUAUAUUCUAGAACAGGGAAUUGAUUUGGGAGAGCAUCAGGAAGGUGGAUGAUCUGCCCAGUCACACUGUUAGUAAAUUGUAGAGCCAGGACCUGAACUCUAAUAUAGUCAUGUGUUACUUAAUGAUGGGGACAUGUUCUGAGAAAUGCUUAUACAAAUCUAGGUGUUGUAGCCUACUACACGCAUAGGCUACAUGGUAUAGCCUAUUGCUCCUAGACUACAAACCUGUACAGCCUGUUACUGUACUGAAUACUGUGGGCAGUUGUAACACAAUGGUAAGUAUUUGUGUAUCUAAACAUAGAAAAGUUACAGUAAAAAUAUACUAUUUUAAUCUUAUGAGACCACUGUCACAUAUACAGUCCAUCAUUGACCAAAACAUCAUAUCAGCAUUUUUUCUUCUAAGAUUUUGGGAGCACCAAAGGGAUACACUAACAGGAUAUACUCUUUGUAAUGGGUUUGGAGAACUGUCUGUAGCUACUUCUUUUAAAAAGGUGAUCUACACAGUAGAAAUUAGACAAGUUUGGUAAUGAGAUCUGCAAUCCAAAUAAAAUAAAUUCAUUGCUAACCUUUUUGUUUUCUUUUCAGGUUUGAAGAUGCCGCAUUUGGAUUGGAUGAAUUCCAAAUUCUGCUUGCUUGCUUUUUAAUAUUGAUAUGCUUAUACACUUACACUUUAUGCACAAAAUGUAGGGUUAUAAUAAUGUUAACACGGACGUGAUCUUCUUUAUAAUUCUACUUUGAGUGCUGUCCCCAUGUUUGAUGUAUCUGGGCAGGUUGCUCCACAGGUAGCUCUAGGAGGGCUGGCAACUUAGAGGUGGGGAGCAGAGAAUUCUCUUAUCCAGCAUCAACAUCUUAGUCAGAUCUGAACUUUUCAAUCUCUUGCACUCAAAGCUUGAUAAGAUGGUUAUGUGUGCAUAAGUUAACUUCCAAUUUACAUACUCUGCUUAGAAUUUGGGGGGAAAAUUUAGAAAUAUAAUUGACAGGAUUAUUGGAAAUUUGUUAAAAUGAAUGAAACAUUUUGUCAUAUAAGAUUCAUAUUUACUUCUCAUACAUUUGAUAAAGUAAGGCAUGGUUGUGGUUAAUCUGGUUUAUUUUUGUUCCACAAGUUAAAUAAAUCGUAAAACUUGA
rnacentral:sRNA from 1 species